UUUUGCUAAUUGGAGAUAUGAACAGACCAGGUGGCCAUUCCUACCAGGGAGAAGUGAGGGUAAGUGGCUGUCCCGGGCAAGGAGGUAAGAAAUACCAGUCUCCAAACAUCCAUGUGUAUAUCAAGUGGUGUGGAGUUUACUUUCAGGGAGAAGAACUGUGGUGGACCUUACUUGUCAUGGGGAGAGUGUGAAAAGCAGAGGCAAGACAAAGCAACAUGCACUUGCCAGCUGCUCAAUCCAUGGAGGACUCCAAUGAGAAGACGUUGUUAUUUCAAGGAACAACAAACAGAAAACAAGCAAUCACUUCAAAUAGUUCAGCUAGUUGCAAAUCUGAAUAUGAGGCAAGUCAGCAGAACACAGACAUGGAGAUGAGAGAAAUGCAGCUGAUUUGAACUUUGAGGGUGUGAAAACUUCAGGAAGUUGCGAGAAGAUCUGAGAUAUCUGCAGGAAGGAAACCAGUGAAACUCAUCACUGCUGCCAAGAGGUAAGGAACUCACCUCAUAAUGGAGAAAUUAAUGGAUCUGGUUUCCCUUCAGGUGAAAGAAAUGCAGCUGAUCUGAUCUCCCAGGGGUUGAGGACUAUAAGCAGUCAUGUUACUGAAGAAUACAGGAACACAUGUUCCCAGACCUGCAGAGAGGGGAAAAAAGUUGCCUUCCUUGACUAGAAUGGGAAGACAAUCCCUUAUCACCGUCAUGUUUCAAACCCACAAUGCAGGAGACUGUCACUGACAGAGGAGAAGAUUUACACAUACUCAGGAUUUGAGCACAAAGGAAUAGGAAUGGAGCUGAAUAGAUCCAACACCUGAAAGGACAAUUGGAGCUCCUAAGAUAUGAAACCAUGAAAAAGACCCUUCAUUCAAUAAAGCAACAGUACAGGCUCUGAGGAGAGGUAGGCAGCAUUUGGUAAGUCUACCAAAUGAGCAUACAAUCAACUCUACAAAGUUGCUAACUUAUGUUGUGUCAAAGGGUUUGUUACAGCUGAUCACACAUCUCAGCAUCAAAGAGGAGCUCAGGGGAAUGGCAGACCUCAGGGGAUUCAUCUUUAUCAGGAGGUGAUGAACCUGCUUGUCACUUCUGAGUGACAUCCGUGGCUUUGGUUAGACUUUCAGAUGAAAGAAACACAGCCAGUGUGGUCAGUAUUCAAGAAAUAAUGUUCAAAAGUUGCCUGGGGUCACCUCUUGGGCUAAGGGGAGCAGCUGGUCCCAUCUGCUGGGAUGGAAGCAAAGAAGAAAGCACUAGCCACUGGUUAGUACUGGGACACAGACAAUAUCCUGGAGGGGCCUGGGACAGGGUGUGUAACCACAGUGACCAGUGGGUCCUUUCCCCACUGUGGUCCUGGCUCGCAUGCACAGGGUGAAACUGAUCGCCAUGUUUGGGGUCAGGAAGGAAUUUUCCUCCAGGGCAGAUUGGCCAGAGACCCUGGGGGUUUUUCGCCUUCCUCUGGGGCAUCGAGCAGGGACCAGCCCUUUGGGCCAUUUAGAAACUGACAA